GCGAGCCAGAGUCUAGUGAGUGAGACUGUCCCUGGCUAUAAUACUGGUUUUAGCCCUCUCACUGGUCAGAGGUGAAGUUGUUAUUUACAACUUUAAAAAGAGAUACAACAAAUGUUCACUUGUGAUCUCCCUAGUUGGCAAGUUUAAAUAUUGCUUAUAGAUAGAUAGAUAGAUAGAUAGAUAGACAGAUAGAUAGAAAUCUUAAUUCAGUAACUCCCUAAAAUUGUUAGGAGGGGCAAUACCCUUUAAAUGAAAGGGAAACUGAAAGUAAAUAGAAGACCAACAAAGAAUUAAUCCUAAUAAAACAGGGAGAGUAAAUUGUGGACAGAUGAUGGACUUUGAGAAAGCCCCCAAAAGAAAGCUUAGCCGAGAAAAAUUUAAACUGAAAACUCGUAGAAAUACCAAAAUGAAGAUUUUAAAGAGAAUCAAGAAAAGCAGAUACACCUGAUGACU
rnacentral:lncRNA from 1 species